GACGAACGCUGGCGGCGUGCUUAACACAUGCAAGUCGAACGGGCCUUGUCCCCUUUUUUUUUGGGGGUGGGGUUAGUGGCGAACGGGUGAGUAACACGUGAGUAACCUGCCCCUCACUUCUGGAUAACCGCUUGAAAGGGUGGCUAAUACGGGGUGUUCUGGCCUGCUCGCAUGGGUGGGUUUGGAAAGAUUCGACCGGUUUGGUUGUUUUGGUGGGGGAUGGGCUCGCGGCCUAUCAGCUUGUUGGUGGGGUGAUGGCCUGCCAAGGCUUUGACGGGUAGCCGGCCUGAGAGGGUGGGCGGUCACACUGGGACUGGGACACGGCCCAGACUCCUACGGGAGGCAGCAGUGGGGAAUAUUGCACAAUGGGCGCAAGCCUGACGCAGCGACGCCGCGUGAGGGAUGGAGGCCUUCGGGUUGUGAACCUCUUUCGCCAGUGAAGAAGGUCCUGCUCUUUGUGGUGGGGUUGACGGUAGCUGGGUUAAUGAAGCGCCGGCUAACUACGUG
rnacentral:rRNA from 1 species